UGGUACUUCUUCGUUUAUGGUACUUCUAUUGCCUAACUACUUUUAUCUAUGUUUUAUCAAUUCAAAAGUUUAUCGAAAAUAACAUUUCUACCUUCAACAUAAAGCAUGGUCUGAGUACACAUAUCCUUCCCAAAACCCCUUUAGAAUUGUUAACUCAAAUACCUAAUAGACUAAAUUAAAAUAAUUCAUUAGAAUUUAAGGUGCUCAAUCGAAAAAAGAAAGUAAAUUUGAAUAUCUAAAUAUAAUAUUCCCAUAAGUUUAGGGACUGUAAAAAUAAUUAAUUGCCUUACUUUAUUAUUAUGCAAGUAAAGUAAGUAAAUCAAAAACUAUGGAUCUUUUCCUAAACUAUAGGCAAAUCCGCCUCUAGUUUUUCAUAUUUCCAAUUCCUUUCUCUUUCUUCCAGAUUAUUCCACCCUUAUAUUUAACCUCUCCCUAUAUAUACAUACUACACACACAAAAUUAACAUCUGAUUCAUCCUCAAAUACACCAAACAAAAAAUAUAACAUACUAUUUUACUUGUCGUCCUUACUAAAAAUGAAUGCGGGAGCAACAAAAGGAUCCGCAUGGAUAGUAGCAGCAAGUAUAGGAGCAGUAGAAGCAUUAAAAGAUCAAGGAUUUGCUAGAUGGAAUUAUGCAUUAAGGUCAAUUAAUCACUAUGCUAAGACUUAUUUAAUUACUAAUAAUAAUACUUCGAGUUCAGUGAGGAGAUUUUCUACAACUCCAACAGGUUCACCAGGGCCAGUGGUGUCUAGUGAGAAGUGGAAGAAGAAAGAAGAGAUGGUGAAUAAAGUUAUUGGUUUGAGUUGUUGGGGUCCAAGUACUGUUAGAUUUUAGUGUUGUUUAUUUGGUUUAAUAUAUGAUUUGUAAUUUUGUUUUAUGUAGUAUAUCGAAAUAUAAAAGUUCGAAUGAAAGAUUUUGAUUUUAGAAAUUUAUUCGCAAUUGAUGUUUUCAUUACUUUAUGUUUGAACUUGGUAUCUAUAUUGAUAAUCAGUGUCGAAGUCAGAAAUUUGACGAAAAACAUGUAAAUCUUUUACUCAAUUAUAUUAGGGAUGUAAGAACAUGUAAAUCUUUUAUUCAAUUAUAUUAGGAGAACAUGUAAAUCUUUUACUCAAUUAUAUUAGGGGUGUGUAAAAUUUUUGGAACUGGCGAUUACUUUUGAAUUAAAGUAGCGACAAGCCUUAUCAUUUAACUUUCGUAUAUCACAUAAGUUUCUGGCAAAGAGUGUGCACCUAAAUCAUACUUUGAAUGCGCACUAAAAAAGUGAGUAAUCAAUUGUAGACACGUAAUUUUGUCCCUCCCUGAAAACAUUUUUACCAUUCUACCCUCGUCUUACUGUGUGCCCUCAUCCGUGUGAUUAUAUCUCACAAAAAUACAAAAAAUAACAAACUAACUACUCAACCAAUUAAAUCUCAACACCCUCUACCUUAUCCUAACCACCUACCUCACCCCCUAACCCACGUUACCCCAUCCACUUACCCCCUCUUGGUCGCAUUUUUUUUCCCUUCAACUAAGGAUAUAUACACACACUAGAUAAUAAUACAGGGGGAUCUUUUUCAGAAGGAGGGCUUUUUCUUCCAUAAGAGAGCGUUUUCCAGGGAUUUGGAAGAGAGACUCUCAAUUGACCAUAGCCACGCAGAUAUCCAUUUUUGGCUCCUUAUUCACCAAUAUUCACUUACACGCACACAGAGAGCACACACUCAUCCACCAUCUUCAUCACAGACCUUAUAUAAAUAAACACUCAUCCUCACUACUCCACAAAAUUCCUACAAAAAGCUUCAUUCUUCUACGUAUACACAGAAAAAUGGAGUAGAUCGAGAGAGAAGAUUGAGGGGGAGAAACGGGAUCCAUUUUUUAUUUUCUUCUUCGGGGAGAUGCACAAUCGAUCGGAGAGAGCUGGUUGGAGAAACUGAGAUGCGGGAGAAAGAGAGAGGAGAGAAACAGCAGUCCCCGUCGCAUCACUGUUUCGGCGACCUUCUCUUUACCGGAAAAUAGCGAAAACUCUAUCGGGUAACCCAUUGAAAUUGGCGAGAACUCUUCGAAAUUAGCAAAAUCAGUCCCAAAUUGACUGAACCGAUUUGUUGCGGUUUGAAUCCAGUGAAAUUCACUGAAAAACAGCUGGUAUCUGUCGGGAAACAAGUAAAUCAGUGAGUUCAAUCCAUCUAACAAGUAAAUCAGUGAGUUCAAUCCAUCUCCAUCACCUUAACUGAGAAAAACGGCGAGGGUACUAACGGGUCAGUAGCAUCGAGGUUCCGAACGUUCAUUUUCUAUCUCGGUCUCAUUGGUGCAAAAUUGUUUUGGGGUUUGCUAUAUUUUGGGUUGGUCAGUCGAGUUGUGAAUUUCCUAUUGGUUCGUUGUUGAGGUUCGAAUCGAGGUUUUUUGGCACGUGGAUUCGUCUUCUCGAUUGACUGAUAUUUGGAAUAAAAUCAUCGUUGAGGAGCCCGCCUGAAGAACAGGGUGAAUAAAUAAAAGUCAAGCAAAAUGGUGAAAAGUUUAAAGUCAAGUAAUAGGACGAAUAAAUGAAAAGUCAAGCAACAUGGUGAAAAGUUGAAAGUCAAGCAACAAGGUAAAGAAAUUGAAAGUCAACAGAUUAAAAAAUAGCAGGUUAGGAAUCCGCCUGAAGAAUAGGGUGAAGGAAUUGAAAAACAAGCAACUAGCGAUGAAAUUGCAAGUCAGGAGCCCGCCUAAAGAAUAGGGUGAAGAAAUUGCAAGUCAGGAGCCCGCCUGAAGAAUAGGGUGAUGAAGUAGCGAGUCAAGAGUCAAGAAAAGCUGCAUAGAUAGAGCUUUUGUAAUUUCUUUUAUAUUUUUAACUUGUAAUUUUUAUUUUUGAUGUAAUGACAGAUCCGCGGACCGGAACCUCGAUGAGACCUCACUCGACUCUCCAACUCAAUUAUCCUUCUUCCUUUUGUUUAUUUCUUUGAAUAAUGAUCGGGUCAAAAUUCUAUCUUGUUGUCUACUUCUUUGUAUGAAAACACUUUGUGUUUACAUGCAAAGAGGGGCAUGAUGUAGACACGCAAUUUUAUCCCUCCCUGAAAAUAUUUUUACCAUUUUACCCUCAUCUUUCUGCGUGCCCUCACCCGUGUGAUUAUAUCUCACAAAAAUAUAAAAAUAACAAACUAACUACUCAACCAAUUAAAUCUCAACACCCUCUACCUUAUCCUAACCACCUACCUUACCCCCUAACCCACGUUACCCCAUCCAUUUACCCCCUCUUGGUUACGUUUUUUUUCCUUCGACUAAGGAUAUAUACACACUAGAUAAUAAUACAGGGGGGAUCUUUUUCAAAAGGAGGGUUUCUUCUUCCAUAAGAGAGCGUUUUCUAGGGAUUUAAAAGAGAGACUCUCAAUUGACCAUAGCCACGCAGACCUUCAUUUUUGGCUCCUUAUUCACCAAUAUUCAUAUACACGCACACAGAGAGCACACACUCAUCCACCAUCUUCAUCACAGACCUUAUAUAAAUUCACACUCAUCCUCACUGCUCCACAUAAUUCCUACAAAAAGCUUCAUUCUUCUACGUACACACAAAAAAAUAGAGUAGAUCGAGAGAGAAGAUUGAGGAUAAGAAACGGGACCUAUUUUUGGUUUUUUUCUUCAGGGAGACGCACAAUCGAUCGAAGAUAGCUGGUUGGAGAAACUGAGAUGGGGAGAGAGAGAGAUGAGAGAAACAACAUUCCCCGUCGCAUCACUGUUCCGCGACCUUCUCUUCACCGGAAAAUAGCGAAAAAUUGGUCGGGUAACCCAUUGAAAUUGGCGAUAACUCAUCGAAAUUAGCAAAAUCAGUCCCAAAUCGACUGAACUGAUCUGUUGCGGUCUGACUCCAGUGAUAUUUGCCGAAAAACGGCCGGUAUCUGCCAAAAAACAAGUAAAUCAGUGAGUUCAAUCCAUCUCCAUCACCUGUAACUGAGAAAAACGGUGAGGGUACUAACGGGUCAGUAGCAUCGAGGUUUCGAAUGCUCAUUUUCUAUCUCGGUCUCAUAUCAUUUUCUAUCUCGGUCUCAUUGGUGCGAAAUUGUUUUGGGGUUUGCUAUAUUUUGGGUUGGUUAAUCGAGUUGGUUAAUCGAGUUGUGAAUUUCCUAUUGGUUCGUUGUUGAGGUUCGAAUCAAGAUUUUUUGACACGCGGAUUCAUCUUCUCGAUUGACUGAUAUUUGGAAUAAAAUCAUCGUUGAGGUCUAUUUCUACUAUUUUUCUCUUUUUAUUUCAUUGUUGAUGGAAUAUGGUGCAUUGAAUGGAAUCUCGUGUGUUGUUUGAUUUGGAUUGGUGAUGAAUUGCUACUUUGAUAUUGAUUUGUUGCUUAA